AUGGUGGUGUGUAAUAGUGGUAUAUAGAUGGUGGUGUGUAUUAGUGGUAUAUAGAUGGUGGUGUGUAAUAGUGGUAUAUAGAUGUUAGGUGGUGGUGUGUAAUAGUGGUAUAUAGAUGGUGGUGUGUAAUAGUGGUAUAUAGAUGGUGGUGUGUAAUAGUGGUAUAUAGAUGGUGGUGUGUAAUAGUGGUAUAUAGAUGGUGGUAUGUAAUAGUGGUAUAUAGAUGGUGGUGUGUAAUAGUGGUAUAUAGUUGGUGGUGUGUAAUAGUGGUAUAUAGAUGGUGGUAUGUAAUAGUGGUAUAUAGAUGGUGGUGUGUAAUAGUGGUAUAUAGAUGGUGGUGUGUAAUAGUGGUAUAUAGAUGGUGGUGUGUAAUAGUGGUAUAUAGAUGGUGGUAUGUAAUAGUGGUAUAUAGAUGGUGGUGUGGUAUAUAGAUGGUGGUGUGUAAUAGUGGUAUAUAGAUGUUAGGUGGUGGUGUGUAAUAGUGGUAUACAUAUG
rnacentral:lncRNA from 1 species